ensembl:lncRNA novel transcript
AAUGUGUAGUGUGGAUUCAGAACAGCUCGUCUAAAAUGAAGGGUCUGCAGAGACCGAUGUACGGGGUGCCAGAGGGAAACCACGUGUGAGAGAACAAGGCCUUCAUGCUUUGUAAGAGAGGACAGAACCAGAUCACAAGGGCUACUUAAAAAAGCCCUCCUCUUGCUUUGCAUUCUUCCAGGACCUGCAACCGGUGAUUGAACUACCAGUUUCUGAAGGCCACCCAUUCACACCUAUUUCCCGCUACUCCAGGGGGUGUUCCCUACAUGCCAGAGCUAAGCACAGGGUUGGAGGCUAGGGAAUGGAAAAGCUUCCCAAUUCAGGCAUUUCUGGAAGCAGUUGUGGCUAUUUCAGGGGGAGCUACAAACACAAGGCAAAGAGUCUUUUGAUCCCACACUUCUGUGUGAGCUUCGGAGAGACAAUCUUCCGGAUCUGGUGGUGACUUUUAAAAAAAGCGUCUCUGGAAUCCAUCCCCAGGCAGGCAGAAUUCGGUCUGAAGAUGCUCCCCAAGAGCACCUCAAAGAGCACCAGCAGGCCUUCCUCGGCAGGGACCUCCUUUAUCCAUGAGCGUUCUCUUCCCAGCCUCAUGUCCCACGGGUCCCUCCACUCUCUCCCUGAAGUCAGAUGGCGCUGGGGUUUCCCUGCGGGAACCACCCGCACAUUCGUGAGUGGAGAGAGUGCCAGCCGGGAGUCAGGCUCACUUGACUGAAGCUCCGCUUCCCUCGCUCCCCACCCACCCCUUCCGCGGCUCAGCCUGGAUCCCGCUGCUCGAUUCUCCAAGUGCCGCGUUCAUGCUGGAAGCCAGCGUUCCCCACAGUGUCUUCUGUGAAGACAAAUCCUGGGAGACGUUGGCGUUCCGGGAGAAGAAAUCGAUUCCUCAAAAAUAAGCAAAUUUUUAAUUUAAGGUGAUGUUUCAAGGAGACGUCGAUAUAUUAACGUGCUUUGCGAGUGUUUAAGAGGAAGGGGUGAAGGGCAGGGUUCUCCAAAGUUGUUGGCUACCUGGAGACCGUCUCGAGGAGUUGGACUAGAACUUGGUACUCACGAUGAUAAGCAGUGACAGGCCAGGCGCGGUGGCUCACGCCUGUAAUCCCAGCAUUUUGGGAGGCCGAGGCAGGUAGAUCACUUGAUGUCAGGAGUUGGAGACCAGCCUGGCCAACGUGGUGAAACUCUGUCUCUAUUAAAAAUACAAAAAUUAGCCGGGAGUGGUGGCGCACACCUGCAACCCCAGCUGCUCCGGAGGCUGAGGCAUGAGAGUAGUUUGAACCCGGGAGGCAGAGAUCGCAGUGAGUCCAAAUCGCGCCACUGCACUCUGGCCUGGGCGACAGUGAGACUCCAUCUCAAAUAAAUAAAUAAAUAAAAUAAGUAAAUAAAUAAAUAAAUAAAUAAACAAACAAACAAUGACAACAUUCCAUGCUCCAGGAACUGGUCUCGGUGCGGUACUGAAGAUUGAUUCAACGGUGAGAACGUCAAGCACGUACUAGUCUCCACGGGCUUACACUGUGGAGGAAAAAAUAUAAACAAACAAACAAAAAUAGCUAUAUUAUACAGCAGGAAGUGAGAAGUGACUAGAAGAAAAGUCAACCCAGAUAAGAAAAGGAAACAAUUAUAAUAGAACUUGAAUAUUUUAUAUCUUUUCUUUUUACACAUUUUGACAUUUAUUAUGAAAAUGUUGCAAGUUGAGAUAAAAUUAUAACAAAUCCCCAUAUGCUAAUUACUUUUUAAAUUAUCUUGUUUAAUCUAUAGACGCACCAUUCGUUUCCUGGUGUAUUUUAAAACAAAUUACAGACACCAUUCUAUUUUAAAUAAUAAAUGGUUUAGCAUAUAAAUCUAACAAAUAAUGACUUUUUGACACAAUUGCAGUGGAAUUAUGGCCUCUAAAACAUUAACGAUAAUUACUUAAUAGUACAGGUUGAUUCCUUGUCUGAAAUGUUCGGGAUCAGAAUUGUUUCAGAUUUCAGAUUUGUGGGGAUUUUAGAAUAUUUGCGUAUACAUAAUGAGAUAUCUUGGGGGCGAGACCUAAGUCUAAACACGAAAUUUAUUUGUCCUUCAUAUGCACCUUAUAUGCAUAGCCUGAAGAUAAUUAUGUAUUUUCACUAAUUUUGUGCAUGAAACAAAGGUUGUGGACACGAGGUCGCGUAUGAAUUUCUUUACUUGUGGUAUCAUGUAGGUACUCAAAAUUUUACAAAUUUGGAGCAUUUUGGACUUGAUUUUUGGAUUAGGGAUGCUCAACUUGCAUCUAAUACUCGGCUAGUAUUAUUUUAAUAAUUUGCUAAUCACCUCAAAAUGUCUUUUAUUAUAGCCAGUGUGUUAGAGUGCAAAAAAAUAAGUAUUCACAUUGCAUUUAGUUGAUAAAUCUCUUACGUCUUACUUGGAAGGCAUUUCCCUCCCCGCUGCCACCGAACCAUCGUUUCUUCAAUGAAAAGGCAGAUUUGUUUUUCCUGUGUUUUUUUCUCCCAUUGUGAUUGGCUGCCUGCAUGCUAGAACUUUUAUGUAACAUGUUCAUCUCUGUACCAUAUAUCUUCUGUCAAUUGGUAGAUAGACCUACAGCCUUCAUUAAAUUUGGCUUCAUUCUUUAGGCAAAAUUAAUUCAUUGACUGUGUUUGAACUUCUUGUUGCACUGUAUCUGGAGGCAGGUAUUAUGGUUGGCCAGCACGGUCCCAUGGUGCCAAUCUCAAUCCUCUUUCAAAAAAUUGCCUCAGCAUACUUUGCUGCUCCUGAUCUAGGAGCUACUGGUCUAGGAGCAAUUUUAUUCAGGCUUUCGGAGUUAUGAUUUUCAAUUUCUACUAUUUCUUCUGCAUAAUUAGCCAGAAUCUUUCUAUGCAGAAGAAACCCUUCUAAAGAUUACAGCACUUUGGGAGGCCGAGACGGGCAGAUCACGAGGUCAGGAUAUCGAGACCAUCCUGGCUAACACAGUGAAACCCUG